GGGGUGUGGAGGUGUGUGGUGGGGUGUGGAGGUGGUGUGGUAGGGUGUGGAGGUGGUGUAGUGGUGUGUGGAGGUGUGUGGUGGGGUGUGGAGGUGGUGUAGUGGUGUGUGGAGGUGUGUGGUGGUGUGUGGAGGUGGUGUAGUGGUGUGUGGAGGUGUGUAGUGGUGUGUAGUGGUGUGUGGAGGUGGUGUAGUGGUGUGUGGAGGUGGUGUAGUGGGGUGUGGAGGUGUGUAGUGGUGUGUGGAGGUGUGUGGUGGGGUGUGGAGGUGGUGUAGUGGUGUGUGGAGGUGUGUGGUGGUGUGUGGAGGUGGUGUAGUGGUGUGUGGAGGUGUGUAGUGGUGUGUGGAGGUGGUGUAGGGGUGUGUGGAGGUGGUGUAGUGGGGUUUGGAGGUGUGUGAAGGUGGUGUGGUGGGGUGUGG
ensembl:lncRNA